rnacentral:rRNA from 1 species
AGCAGUCGCCGCGGUAAUACGAAGGGGGCUAGCGUUGCUCGGAAUGACUGGGCGUAAAGGGCGCGUAGGCGGAUUGCUUUGUCGGGUGUGAAAUUCCAGGGCUUAACCUUGGGACUGCAUUCGAGACGGGUGAUCUAGAGUUUGGAAGAGGGUCGUGGAAUUCCCAGUGUAGAGGUGAAAUUCGUAGAUAUUGGGAAGAACACCGGUGGCGAAGGCGGCGACCUGGUCCUUGACUGACGCUGAGGCGCGAAAGCGUGGGGAGCAAACAGGAUUAGAUACCCCGGUAGUCCCUGUCUCUUAUAC